UGUGAUAUGAUGCCACCUGUGCAACAAGUCCAGUCGUGAAAUGUCCUCGCUACUAAAUAUUCCACAGUCAGCUGUCAGUGUCAUAACAAAGUGGAAGCGAUCGGGAACGACGGCAACACAUCCACAAAGUGCUCCUGUGCAGACCUGAUGCAACCGAGAAGCCUGAAGCUGAAUAUAGUCCAAUUGGAAUACUCAGCUUGCUGCCUGGCGUGGGAUGUUACACUGAUGUCUUGGUAUACUCCUCCUCCUCCUCCUCCUCCUCCUCCUCCUCUUCCUGAGACACAGUUGUGUGGUGGUUUUCUGCUUUCAUCAGCCCAGUUGGGGUGGGAAACUGAAGAAUCAGAACGAGUAGAAUGGUGCUCAUAAAUGCCCAACCAAUUUCUCCAAAUAGUUUCUGUGUCCUUAAAUCAAGAGGCUCAGAUCUAAGCAAAAAGGUUAAACAUUUGCCACAUUUUCCCCAGUGGUAAAGCUAUGGAUGGUUGUAGUAACCAGAGCACUAUCCAGAGCCACAGUGCACUUGCUGUGGACCACGGUAGAUAACUCAAUUUGUUUAUCAUCCAUAGUCCAUGGACAAAGUUGCUUUGAAAAGAAAAUAUAAGCUUAAAAUUACAAAGUUAUUGAAAAAAUGUAUAAGUAGGCAGAGUAAUAAUCAAGAAAAAUACUUUAAAAAACAUGCAGGAUGCCAUUAUACUACAGGUACUUUUUAAAACUUGUAACAAAGAGGCUUGCAAAACAUGUCUGACAUUAUUAAUGAAAUGAGGGAUAUAAAUAAGGACUAAAUAAGAUGUUGUUCUGCAUUAUGAGACACUAACUUAACCAUGCAAAGCAAAAGCACAGGCAUAAAAAGCAAGCUUAUAUUACAUACAUAAAUCAAGCCUACGUGAGAGCAAACUGGAGAUCACAGGUGGCAGCACACAGCAAGGGAAGUUCACAGCCAAAACAGACUGAAAACAGCGAGGUACAACUGAACACUGACAGAGCUGAGUGCUGAUGAACCGGUUCCUCAAAUGAUCUCUGAACAUCCUGCAUAAGUCUGGUUGUCUUGCUGGGAGUCUCAUUCUAGUUUCAUCAGAAUACAUACUGACUGAAAACACAUUUCCUCAGCGGGGUUAAUGCAGUCCACUCGUGCUGCACCUCUUGUGAAGUGAUAUGCAGUGGUUCUUAUGUUGACAAACCGUCUGAGCUGAGCAGUUUACAAGGCUCACAGGCUGUGUUUGUGCUCGUUGGUGCUACAGACCUAAGGGGUUAAGUUUUCAGAAGUUAUUUUGCUUUGUAGUGAUGGCCUACAUGCUAGACACUGUGAGUCUGUAAGCUAAAAAUGACAAUUCUUACAUGGUGAUGCAACGUUAGCAGGCUGAAAUAGCUACCUAGCAGUAAACACAAAGUGCACCUGAGGCUGAUGAGACUUUAAUUAGUCUUACAGAAAGCAGAGCUCACAGACUUCCAUCUAAUAGUUGUUGAGAUAUUUAGCUUUCAUCCGACUGACGUCUGUGUCUUUUCUAGUCUGGACCAAGGUGGUGGGCUAGCAUAAAUAAGAUCCAUUAUGGUUGUUAAGAUAUCGCAGUAAAAUAAUUUUAUUGAAUACUACAGUGAAAAUUGACUUGAUUACUUUAAUUGACAUUUUCUAUUGUUAUCAAGCCAAAUGUCCACCAUUUUUGCUUUGCCACACUAGGUGGCUGAGCUACAGCCCUGUGUGUCCUUUCUAUCUGCUACGGUUCUAGUGGGAAAAUACAUGGCCCAUCCACAGAGUGUCAGAUUGACCUUAAGGGUAGGAGAUUGGUGCCUGGAGCGCCGCCAUCUCACCACUCACUCCCAGUCUGUUCUCAGUGCAGCCUCCAACCACAACUUGAUGUUUACACUCCACAGACCUUGACAUUUCAAUUGCCUCUUAGUAAUAAACUCCACUCUGCUCAAAAACAG